rnacentral:rRNA from 1 species
AAAACCAAUGCCCUUCGGGGCUCCUUGGUGAUUCAUAAUAACUUCUCGAAUCGCACGGCCUUGCGCCGGCGAUGGUUCAUUCAAAUUUCUGCCCUAUCAACUUUCGACGGCUGGGUCUUGGCCAGCCAUGGUGACAACGGGUAACGGAGGGUUAGGGCUCGACCCCGGAGAAGGAGCCUGAGAAACGGCUACUACAUCCAAGGAAGGCAGCAGGCGCGCAAAUUACCCAAUCCCGACUCGGGGAGGUAGUGACAAUAAAUACUGAUACAGGGCUCUUUCGGGUCUUGUAAUCGGAAUGAGUACAAUUUAAAUCCCUUAACGAGGAACAAUUGGAGGGCAAGUCUGGUGCCAGCAGCCGCGGUAAUUCCAGCUCCAAUAGCGUAUAUUAAGUUGUUGAGGUUAAAAAGCUCGUAGUUGAACCUUGGGCCUAGCCGGCCGGUCCGCCUCACCGCGUGCACUGGCUCGGCUGGGCCUUUCCCUCUGUGGAACCUCAUGCCCUUCACUGGGUGUGCAGGGGAACCAGGACUUUUAC